rnacentral:rRNA from 1 species
AGGACGAACGCUGGCGGCGUGCUUAACACAUGCAAGUCGAGCGGUAAGGCCUUUCGGGGUACACGAGCGGCGAACGGGUGAGUAACACGUGGGUGAUCUGCCCUGCACUCUGGGAUAAGCCUGGGAAACUGGGUCUAAUACCGGAUAUGACCUGCUCUCGCAGUGGGGGGUGGGUGGAAAGAUUUUAGUCGGGUGCAGGAGUCGGGCCCGCGGCCUAUCAGUCUUUGGUUGGGUGGGUAAUCGGCCUACCAAGGCGACGACGGGUAGCCGACCUGGAGAGGGUCGACCGGCCAACGACGUGGGACUGAGACCACGGCCCAGACCUCCG